rnacentral:rRNA from 1 species
UACGUAGGUGGCAAGCGUUGUCCGGAUUUAUUGGGUUUAAAGGGUGCGUAGGCGGCCUAUUAAGUCAGUGCUGAAAUAUCCCGGCUUAACCGGGAGGGUAGCAUUGAUACUGAUGGGCUUGAGUGGAUUCGAGGUAGGCGGAAUUGACGGUGUAGCGGUGAAAUGCUUAGAUAUCGUCAAGAACACCGAUAGUGUAGACAGCUUACUAGACUUCAACUGACGCUGAGGCACGAAAGUGUGGGGAUCAAACAGGAUUAGAAACCCCUGUAGUCC